GAUGGAGAACGUAGCGAAAUGCGAUAAGUAAUGUGAAUUGCAGAAUUCAGUGAAUCAUCGAAUCUUUGAACGCACAUUGCGCCCCCUGGAAUUCCGGGGGGCAUGCCUGUUCGAGCGUCUCAGGGACGAACCCUCGCGCGGGUGUACGCGCGGUCGUGGCUGCGGUGGCGUGCCCGAGGCGGCGGCCACCGCGCUGGAAUCCAUGGGCGGACGCCUGCCGCGUGGCCGAGCGUGAUAUGACGCAUUGGCGCUCGCGCGCGGCGAGGCUGCCAGCCCUGGCCCGUCUGUCGGGCGGGGGAGAGCAAGACACGUGAACUCCUCGAAUCAGGUAGGGAUACCCGCUGAACUUAAGCAUAUCAAUAAGCGGAGGA
rnacentral:misc_RNA from 1 species